UUGCACGCUGGCGGCAGGCCUCACACAUGCAAGUCGAACGGUAACAGGAAGCAGCUUGCUGCUUUGCUGACGAGUGGCGGACGGGUGAGUAAUGUCUGGGAAACUGCCUGAUGGAGGGGGAUAACUACUGGAAACGGUAGCUAAUACCGCAUAACGUCGCAAGACCAAAGAGGGGGACCUUCGGGCCUCUUGCCAUCGGAUGUGCCCAGAUGGGAUUAGCUAGUAGGUGGGGUAACGGCUCACCUAGGCGACGAUCCCUAGCUGGUCUGAGAGGAUGACCAGCCACACUGGAACUGAGACACGGUCCAGACUCCUACGGGAGGCAGCAGUGGGGAAUAUUGCACAAUGGGCGCAAGCCUGAUGCAGCCAUGCCGCGUGUAUGAAGAAGGCCUUCGGGUUGUAAAGUACUUUCAGCGGGGAGGAAGGGAGUAAAGUUAAUACCUUUGCUCAUUGACGUUACCCGCAGAAGAAGCACCGGCUAACUCCGUG
rnacentral:rRNA from 1 species